UACGGGGGGGGCAAGCGUUGUUCGGAAUUACUGGGCGUAAAGGGCUCGUAGGCGGCCAUCUAAGUCAGACGUGAAAUCCCUCGGCUUAACCGGGGAACUGCGUCUGAUACUGGAUGGCUUGAGUUUGGGAGAGGGAUGCGGAAUUCCAGGUGUAGCGGUGAAAUGCGUAGAUAUCUGGAGGAACACCGGUGGCGAAGGCGGCAUCCUGGACCAACACUGACGCUGAGGAGCGAAAGCCAGGGGAGCAAACAGG
rnacentral:rRNA from 1 species